GUUCCUGUAGCACAAUGGAUAGCGCGCUGGACUUCUAAUCCAAAGUUCGUGAGUUAGAAUUUCACCUGGAAUA